rnacentral:rRNA from 2 species
GUUAGUGCAAUGGCAUAAGCCAGCUUGACUGCGAGCGUGACGGCGCGAGCAGGUGCGAAAGCAGGUCAUAGUGAUCCGGUGGUUCUGAAUGGAAGGGCCAUCGCUCAACGGAUAAAAGGUACUCCGGGGAUAACAGGCUGAUACCGCCCAAGAGUUCAUAUCGACGGCGGUGUUUGGCACCUCGAUGUCGGCUCAUCACAUCCUGGGGCUGAAGUAGGUCCCAAGGGUAUGGCUGUUCGCCAUUUAAAGUGGUACGCGAGCUGGGUUUAGAACGUCGUGAGACAGUUCGGUCCCUA